rnacentral:rRNA from 1 species
ACGCUCACCAUCGCGACCCCAGGUCAGGC